rnacentral:lncRNA from 1 species
CAUCCAUCUUCACAAAAGUUCCACCAUUCUCCACCCUCGACCUUCCUACGGUAAUAUUUUCGCCUAAUCUCUUUUUUCAAAUUCUUGUUUCUUUUUGUUGUGUGCAUAUACGAAUAUGUCUCGCCGAGUCGAAAAAAGCAAAAAUGUGGCGGAAUCAUCCCGUCCACGACAAAGGGCGAGAAGAACCCUGAACGAGCACGACAUUGUGUUCGAGAACCUGGAGAACCAGAAGAGGUAUGCGGUUCAUC